GACGAACGCUGGCGGCGCGCUUAGCACAUGCAAGUCGAGCGAGAACCAUGGCUUCGGCCAUGGGGACAGCGGCGAACGGGUGAGUAACACGUGGGCAAUCUGCCCUCGGCACUGGGAUAGCCCGGGGAAACCCGGAUUAAUACCGGAUAGCCUCUCGAGCUCACGGGCUCGUGAGAAAAGAUGGCUUCGGCUUUCGGCUGAGGAGGAGCCUGCGGCGGAUAGCUUGUUGGCGGGGUAACGGCCCACCAAGGCGACGAUCUGUAGCUGGUCUGAGAGGACGAUCAGCCACACUGGGACUGAGACACGGCCCAGACUCCUACGGAGGCAGCAGUGGGGGAUCUUGCGCAAUGGGCGAAAGCCUGACGCAGCGACGCCGCGUGAGGGAAGAAGGCCU
rnacentral:rRNA from 1 species